AGUGACAGGUGGUGCAUGGUUGUCGUCAGCUCGUGUCGUGAGAUGUUGGGUUAAGUCCCGCAACGAGCGCAACCCUUGAUCUUAGUUGCCAGCAUUCAGUUGGGCACUCUAAGGUGACUGCCGGUGACAAACCGGAGGAAGGUGGGGAUGACGUCAAAUCAUCAUGCCCCUUAUGACCUGGGCUACACACGUGCUACAAUGGGUGGUACAAAGGGCAGCAAAGCGGCGACGCCAGAGCCAAUCCCAUAAAACCACUCUCAGUUCGGAUUGUAGGCUGCAACUCGCCUACAUGAAGCUGGAAUCGCUAGUAAUCGCGGAUCAGCAUGCCGCGGUGAAUACGUUCCCGGGCCUUGUACACACCGCCCGUCACACCACGAGAGUUUGUAACACCCGAAGUCGGUGGGGUAACCGUAAGGAGCCAGCCGCCUAAGGUGGGACAGAUGAUUGGGGUGAAGUCGUAACAAGGUAGCCGUAUCGGAAGGUGCGGCUGGAUCACCUCCUUUCUAAGGAA
rnacentral:rRNA from 1 species